rnacentral:tRNA from 1 species
GUGUAUAUGGCAUACCUGCAAGCAGUGCUUGCUCUUAUAGUAGAUGCAGUGGUUUGGAAUAAUCUACCGGACUUGGGGUCGUUGAUAGGUUCCAUUCUUAUUGUAUCCG